AAGCUUCUAGUAAAACUAUUACACGGCCUUGUCAAGGCCGACUUGUGGGUUAAAACCCCGCGUAGCUUG
rnacentral:tRNA from 1 species